CACAUUUAGCGUGUACCUCACUCUUCUCUCUCUCCCCCUUCCCUUCCCUUCCCUCCCCUCUUUCCUCCCCUCUACAUGGCAAUCCAUGCCCACAUUUCUCACGACAAAGGCUCAUAUAUAUAUAUAAAUCUUUGCACUUUUCAAAAUCAAACUCUCUCAUUAACCAAUCCGAAACCCCCUCCACAUUGUCAGAUCGAUAUCAAUGGUUUGCUCUUCUUCUUCUUCGAAGUCCAGGCAUGGGCUGUGGAAGAUCCUCGCAUGCAGUCUUCUGGUGAUUUUGAUUCUAUUCCCGGGUCCAAGCGCCGCAGCAUACUCAAGCCGAAAAAUGGCAACAGACCGAGUUCCUGACAAUUACGGGCAUGUCCAGCUUCACCGCCACAUUCACCAGAUGGGUUUCCGGUACCAAGGUCGGAUGUUCAACUUCCUCCCGAAAGGAACGCAGGUGCCCCCCUCAGGCCCAUCCAAGAGGCACAACGCGAUCGUGAGCUCCACACCCAAGAACUGACGAUCGAUAUCGGAAGAGAAUAUCGACAUGCUAAUUAAGGUCUGAUGGUCUUAAUUAUAACCUUUUUGCUAUAUAGGUAGCUUGAUGGAAGUAUGAAAUACACAAUUACAGCGAGUUUUGGGAUCAGGUUCUUAAUCCCCUUCCAAGAACAGUUUAUAAUGUGCUAGGGACGGGGCUGAUGAUCUUUUGUUUUUUCUUUAUCCUUUUUUUUUUUUGGGAUAGCUUUAGGAUUUAUGAUUCGAUAUACUGUAUAGAAAGGAAGAUUUGUUUGUUCAAAGAAUAUACCGAAACUUCAUUACAUCAAGAGGGCAUAAGGUUAGGUAUAUAGAUUCUCAUUAGAAAGGCCAGACAUCAUACGAUGAUGAUGAUGACCAGGUUUGUCAUCACCCUGGAACCGAUUCUUAUGUAUAUAUAAAUCAGAAGUUUUCAUUUGAUGAUACAUAGAUAAUACUGAGUUGCCUCUCUCUUUCACUCUCUCUCGAUCUCUGCAUUGUUUGGUUAUAAGGAAGGCCUAGGGUUUAGUAAAAGGGGGACGGGAUAAGUUUAUGCCUCCGGCUCCCUUUUUUUGCAUCUGAGAUUGGCGUCAAAGUGAGAAAAGGCUUCAAUAUUCAAUCAGCAUGUGCCUUUUCUCUCCAAAAAAGUCGCAGAAAAGGCCGUAUCUUCUAUAACUAAUGCCUUUUAGAGGGGAAGUAGUUGAGGAGAAGCCUCCAAUGGCAAUUGGGAAUAAGGCCAACUAGUCCACAUACGAGAGAGAACAAACCAUUGGUCAGAUGAAGACUUUUCGGAUUAUUCUAUGGUUCCGUCACAGAACCAUCAAGACCUAUUGACAACCAUCGGAUAGGACCCGAUGCUUGGUGAGAGUUCAUUUUUCUCUAAUCCAACGGCCUGUCGAUGGAGUUUGAUAGUUCCGGGACUGAACCAUAUAAAAUUUCUCAAAUUUUUGGGUCGAUCUCUCUCUCUCUCUUUUUUUCCCAAUUAUUUUCUCCAUUGGGACAGGAUCCAUGGAGGAUAGAGCAGUACCUUUCCUUGAAAUCCUGGUCGAUGACCUGACCUGAUCAACAAAUUUCUCUGCUUCAAACCAUGAGGAUAGAUGAAAGCAGAACGAGUAUUCUCUGAUUGACAGGAUUCAUGGAAGCUCAAGUGGUUCGUCAGUGGCUCUUUUAACAAUAGUAGGUACUACGCAACUGUGCGUGUUUCGAUUUAUGAGAUUCAGGGAAAUCAGAUCUUCGAACAACUUCGUGUUCUAAAUGAUUAAUUGGUUCUGUCGAAUUUAUCUCUAUGCAUACAAUAUGGAUGCCGGCCCGAUACCAAAAGUAAUUAUCUUCACCUGCUCCUGGAAAACUUUGAUGGACUUUCAUUUAGUCUUUCGAUAUUAUACAUGUGUUUGACUCGGCUCUUUGAUUUCUUAGGUAGACAUGUUAUCUGUGGAUUUAACUGAGCAUGAAUUCCUACGAUUGACCUUUAUGUCCACCCCGUAUAACCAUUUUGCCCUUCUCCUUAUUUCUUUUCCUUCAAUUUUCCGAGGAUUUAUUAUUCGUUUUUUCCAUUAUCUUGACUUCCAUUAUUUGCGGAGCAUGGUACACACUAGAGGUAACAAAGGUUGGUCUCCACUGCCCCUAUGUACGUACACCUGACGCAUUUUAUACAUCACAAAACUCAAAACCAUUUAGCAUAUCACAUUAUCUAUAGACACGAUUCAUGCAUUGAUAUGUUGACAUUUGCCUAUCGAUAUGUAUUAUUAUUUUCAAGAAUGACUUUAGCAGCAAACCCAAACUCCUUUCCUUUCCCAUUCUUAACGCCCUCAUUCAAGGCGUGCAUGCAUAUUUAAUUUGGUCCAUUGACCAUUCAUCGAUUGCUUCUCAGCAAAAAAUUACUAAAGAAAAGAAAACUAAUUAAAAUAGUUGUACGGAAAAGCCAAGACUUGUAAAAGAUUGUCUAUAUUUGUAUCUUUAUCUAUAUGAAAGUAAAGUAUGAGGCGAGACCGAUAGAUAGCCUCAAAAUGCUCAAUUUCUAAAUGAAACUUUCUCGGAAUUAUUGGUAAAAUAAUUCCAGUCUCGCAGCACCCUGCGCGCUCUUCUUACUAGUUAUGUAUUAGAUAUGACUUAAUUAUCGGAGCUACUCUUUCCCGCAUGUUGUAUUUACUCGGCCGCUCCCUUUACUGCAACCGGACCGCGCACAGAUACUGCUCCUCUUGGAGCUCGGGACGGCUUGUCCCUUCUACUUGGGGGAUAACACUCUAUUCACGAGAUGCUUCUUGGAGUUGUGCUCGAAGAGAUUUGAGAUAUUUACAGGUUGCUGGAAGAUAUACUCUACUCUCCAGCCUCCAUACCAGCCUGAGCUUAUCCAGGUGCUCUUCUAUAGAAUGCGGCACGCUUUUACCAUUACUCGUCUCAAUUACCCGUCUCUACUUUGUGGUUCUUUGAAGACAUUGGAUGCGCUAUCGUGGAUGACUUGUUUCAUCGGGAUGAGUUCAAAGAGACCGAUGCUAUCUUUGGAGGGAAGGGAUUGAUUUCAUCGUCGGUGUUGCUACCUUUUGCGGCCCGUGAUUUUCAUCUGUUGAUACGAUUGCACAUUUGCACGGUUACGAUGCAGCUUGAUGUUCAGGAUGUGCCCGUAUAGUUUUAAAUAUUGUGGUUCUUUUGGAUUAUUUGAAAAUUUGCUCACAGUUUUUUCUUUUUUUGAGAAAAAAUUUGAUCCUUUUCCAUGAAUUUGUAAAUGGAGAAGACUUGAGAUAUAGUAAUGGUCGGUAAUUUGUAAAUAUGAUUGGGUUAGUAUUAGAACAGGAGUUAAUUUUAUUUUAAAAUUUUACUUAUAAAUUAGAGUUCAUGAUUUUCAAUCUAUUACAAUAUACUGAGGUUACAUGCUAUAACUAGCAUGCAUGAAUUAGAUUACAAUAUUUUGUACUGUGAUCCAUUUU